rnacentral:rRNA from 1 species
GACGAACGCUGGCGGCGUGCUUAACACAUGCAAGUCGAACGUGAUUUUUAAGGAAAGCCCUUCGGGGUGGGAAUUAAAAUGAAAGUGGCGAACGGGUGAGUAACACGUGAGCAACCUACCUUACACAGGGGGAUAGCCGUUGGAAACGACGAUUAAUACCGCAUGAGACCACAGAAUCGCAUGAUAUAGGGGUCAAAGAUUUAUCGGUGUAAGAAGGGCUCGCGUCUGAUUAGCUAGUUGGAAGGGUAAAGGCCUACCAAGGCGACUAUCAGUAGCCGGUCUGAGAGGAUGAACGGCCACAUUGGAACUGAGACUCGGUCCAAACUCCGACGGGAGGCAGCAGUGGGGAAUAUUGCACAAUGGGGGGAACCCUGAUGCAGCUACGCCGCGUGAGCUAUGAAGGUUUUCUAAUCUGAAAGCUCUUUCCUUGAUAAGAUUUGAGUUGUGAGAGGAGUAUGCCCUGUGCUUAUACUUGCCUGCGCCUUGUUUUUCUUUAUGGUGUCGUGCGUGUGUCCGAUAUUUUGGGGUAUGUGUGUUGUAUGUGGUGUUUUGAGUUGGGUGUAAACCUUGGUGGUUAACUGUGUUAUGCUGCUUUGACUGGUGUGUGUAGUGAUGGUGUGUGGUGUUGGAUUGUGUGUGUUAUUGUGUUAUUAGUUGUGUUGCUGUGAAUGUGCUGUGAUGUUUUUGUACUCGUGUUGUGUGUCGUGUUGCCGCGCGCACGAUGACCUGGUGUGGUGUAUGUGAUAGAAUUGGUGGUGACUGUGGGUGUUGUUGCCUUAGGAGUGUAUGUGUGUGUGCGCUGGCCGCCGCUGUGUAAAAAAAAAAUAUAAUGAUGUGUUGUGAUGUUGUAUGUGUGUGCUUGAUGCUUGUGCCGAUGCGUUGAUGUUGGUCGUGUGUGUGUUGUGAUGUGUGAUGUGUGUGUGUCAUGUGUG